UACGUAGGGUGCAAGCGUUAUCCGGAAUUAUUGGGCGUAAAGAGCUCGUAGGCGGUUUGUCGCGUCUGCUGUGAAAACUGGGGGCUCAACCCCCAGCCUGCAGUGGGUACGGGCAGACUAGAGUGCGGUAGGGGAGAUUGGAAUUCCUGGUGUAGCGGUGAAAUGCGCAGAUAUCAGGAGGAACACCGGUGGCGAAGGCGGAUCUCUGGGCCGUAACUGACGCUGAGGAGCGAAAGCAUGGGUAGCGAACAGG
rnacentral:rRNA from 1 species